ACCGCAUAAUGUCUACGGACCCAACGGGGCUUAGGCUCCGGCGCAAAGAGAGGCCCAAGUGAGAUUAGCUAGAUGGUGAGGUAAAGGCUCACCAUGGCGACGAUCUCUAGCUGUUCUGAGAGGAAGAUCAGCCACACUGGGACUGAGACACGGCCCAGACUCCUACGGGAGGCAGCAGUGGGGAAUAUUGCACAAUGGGGGAAACCCUGAUGCAGCCAUGCCGCGUGUGUGAAGAAGGCCUUCGGGUUGUAAAGCACUUUCAGUUGUGAGGAAAGGUUGGUAGUUAAUACCUGCCAGCUGUGACGUU
rnacentral:rRNA from 1 species